ACGGAUGAAAAAGCUAGAGCCCAGGGUCCUUUAAAUAGUGUCAGAGGCGUCCCAGAGUACGACCCGGUCCAAAAGAAUAUAAAUAGAACAGAAACAAGGCCUGAUCCACGUGAAAUCACGCCCAAGCAUCGCAGGGAGGACUCUCGGGCGAGAAUUGAAGGUCAUGUAAGGCCUGGGCCUCAGAUUUGGAUGCCCAAGCUACGAAGUUCCACAACCCGAGCGUCGGGGGCCACCGCCCGAGCUUUGAGCGUCAAUUCUAGUUGCGUGGUUUGCGCUCCUAGACGAUCGGGCUUCGCGUUUUCC
rnacentral:lncRNA from 1 species